rnacentral:rRNA from 1 species
GACGAACGCUGGCGGCGUGCUUAACACAUGCAAGUCGAGCGGUAAGGCCCUUUCGGGGGUACACGAGCGGCGAACGGGUGAGUAACACGUGGGUGACCUGCCCUCAGCUCUGGGAUAAGCCUGGGAAACUGGGUCUAAUACUGGAUAUGACUCCACGGUGCAUGUCGUGGGGUGGAAAGCCUUGUGCGGCUGAGGAUGGGCCCGCGGCCUAUCAGCUUGUUGGUGGGGUGAGGCCUACCAAGGCGACGACGGGUAGCCGGCCUGAGAGGGCGACCGGCCACACUGGGACUGAGACACGGCCCAGACUCCUACGGGAGGCAGCAGUGGGGAAUCUUGCGCAAUGGGCGAAAGCCUGACGCAGCGACGCCGCGUGAGGGAUGACGGCCUGU